AUUCUAUUGAAGAUCUUUUACAGGCAAGGCAGGAAAUAAAACAGAAUUAAAAGUUUCUAAAAUAUUUCCUUCUUUUCUAUAUCGUGUAAACAGGGAAGAUUAACAGAAAAAUAAACAGAGCUGCCUAAAAUUAACAAUUUAAAGUUGCUGAUCAGUAAUAUAGUAUUCGACGAUAAAGGAGGCGAAGGGGGAAAAGGCUGAAUAUUAUUGAUCUUCAAAUAGGGCAAGACAGAUCCAUAAUCUUCUGAAAGAAUCUAAAUCGAAGAUAUUUGACGUCCAGUUGGAAAUAUUACAC
rnacentral:lncRNA from 1 species